rnacentral:rRNA from 1 species
CCUACGGGAGGCAGCAGUGAGGAAUAUUGGUCAAUGGACUCAAGUCUGAACCAGCCAUGCCGCGUGCAGGAAGACGGCUCUAUGAGUUGUAAACUGCUUUUGUACGAGGGCAAACCCAGAUACGCGUAUCUGUCUGAAAGUAUCCUACGAAUAAGGAUCGGCUAACUCCGUGCCAGCAGCCGCGGUAAUACGGAGGGUGCAAGCGUUAUCCGGAUUUAUUGGGUUUAAAGGGGGCGUAGGCGGUCAGGUAAGUUAGAGGUGAAAUCCCGAGGCUCAACUUCGGAAUUGCCUCUGAUACUGUUCGGCUGGAGAGUAGUUGCGGUAGGCGGAAUGUAUGGUGUAGCGGUGAAAUGCUUAGAGA